rnacentral:rRNA from 1 species
AUGGCGCGGGCUCCUGUCGACAGAGAAAAAGAGAACAGAGAGAGAGGAGAGAGGGGAAACACAGGGAGGAAAACGGGAAGGAGAAGAAGGAGGCGACGCUCAUCUGGUUGGCUGCUGGGCAUGAGCGAGGCCGGCGAGGCGGCGGCAGGAGGGCUCCAUGGACGCCAUGGCUGGGCGCUGCAGUCACCGACGCGGACGGCAGACGCACGGCGGCGCAGCAGGGGCACGGCGGGCACGGUGUGGGAAUGGAGGCAGCGCAGCAGGGGCACGGCGGGAACGCGUAAGCCGGUGGUGACUUCCAUGGCGCCGGUGUGCUCCUGUGAAGAGAGCAAAGAGAGAGAUGAGGUGAGGGGAGAACCAUAG